rnacentral:rRNA from 1 species
CCUACGGGAGGCAGCAGUGAGGAAUAUUGGUCAAUGGGCGAGAGUCUGAACCAGCCAAGUAGCGUGAAGGAUGACUGUCCUAUGGGUUGUAAACUUCUUUUAUAUGGGAAUAAAAUGUGCGACGUGUGGUAUUUUGUAUGUACCAUAUGAAUAAGGAUCGGCUAACUCCGUGCCAGCAGCCGCGGUAAUACGGAGGAUCCGAGCGUUAUCCGGAUUUAUUGGGUUUAAAGGGAGCGUAGGUGGCUUGUUAAGUCAGUGGUGAAAGUUUGUGGCUCAACCGUAAAAUUGCAGUUGAAACUGGCAGUCUUGAGUACAGUAGAGGUGGGCGGAAUGCUUGGUGUAGCGGUGAAAUGCUUAGAUAUCACGAAGAACUCCGAUUGCGAAGGCAGCUCACUGGACUGCAACUGACACUGAGGCUCGAAAGUGUGGGUAUCAAACAGGAUUAGAUACCCCAGUAGUC